rnacentral:rRNA from 1 species
ACUCCUGCGGGAGGCAGCAGUGGGGAAUUUUGGACAAUGGGCGAAAGCCUGAUCCAGCAAUGCCGCGUGCAGGAUGAAGGCCUUCGGGUUGUAAACUGCUUUUGUACGGAACGAAAAAGCUCCUUCUAAUACAGGGGGCCCAUGACGGUACCGUAAGAAUAAGCACCGGCUAACUACGUGCCAGCAGCCGCGGUAAUACGUAGGGUGCGAGCGUUAAUCGGAAUUACUGGGCGUAAAGCGUGCGCAGGCGGUUAUGUAAGACAGAUGUGAAAUCCCCGGGCUCAACCUGGGAACUGCAUUUGUGACUGCAUGGCUAGAGUACGGUAGAGGGGGAUGGAAUUCCGCGUGUAGCAGUGAAAUGCGUAGAUAUGCGGAGGAACACCGAUGGCGAAGGCAAUCCCCUGGACCUGUACUGACGCUCAUGCACGAAAGCGUGGGGAGCAAACAGGAUUAGAAACCCUUGUAGUCCCAUG